UGGGGAAUAUUGCACAAUGGGCGCAAGCCUGAUGCAGCCAUGCCGCGUGUGUGAAGAAGGCCUUCGGGUUGUAAAGCACUUUCAGCGAGGAGGAAGGUGGUGAGCUUAAUACGCUCAUCAAUUGACGUUACUCGCAGAAGAAGCACCGGCUAACUCCGUGCCAGCAGCCGCGGUAAUACGGAGGGUGCAAGCGUUAAUCGGAAUUACUGGGCGUAAAGCGCACGCAGGCGGUUUGUUAAGUCAGAUGUGAAAUCCCCGGGCUCAACCUGGGAACUGCAUUUGAAACUGGCAAGCUAGAGUCUCGUAGAGGGGGGUAGAAUUCCAGGUGUAGCGGUGAAAUGCGUAGAGAUCUGGAGGAAUACCGGUGGCGAAGGCGGCCCCCUGGACGAAGACUGACGCUCAGGUGCGAAAGCGUGGGGCAGCAAACAGGAUUAGAUACCCUGGUAGUCCACGCUGUAAAACGAUGUCGAUUUUGGAGGUUGUGCCCCUUGAGGCGUGGNUUCCGGAGCUAACGCGUUAAAUCGACCGUCUGGGGAGUACGGCCGCAAGGUUAAAACUUAAAGGAAUUGACGGGGUCUAGCUG
rnacentral:rRNA from 1 species